GACAGAGGUGCCGAGCGUUAAGCGGAAUCACUGGGCUUAAAGCGUGUGUAGGCGGCGGCGUAAGUACCUUGUGAAAUCCCACGGCUCAACCGUGGAACUGCUCGGUAUACUGCGUCGCUUGAGCCAGCUAGGGGCGACCGGAACAAACGGUGGAGCGGUGAAAUGCGCAGAUAUCAGGAAGAACACCUAUGGCGAAGGCAGCUCUCUGGGACGGUACUGACGCUGAGACGCGAAAGCGUGGGGAGCGAACAGG
rnacentral:rRNA from 1 species